rnacentral:lncRNA from 1 species
UUGUGUUCAGAGCUUUAUCGUAUUGUAAAAGUACAAACAACUGUAAGCUGAGAAAAAAGAAUAUACAACUAUCUUAUACUAGGACUAGAGAGAUUGUAAAAGGGGCUCUAUCGGAAAUAGGUUUAAACGCAAGAAUUUUUGGUACACAUAGUUUUAGGGCAGGCGGUUGCUCAGCCGCUAGUAACUCUGGUGUCUCGGAUAGAUUAUUAAAGAUUCACGGAAGGUGGAAAUCUGAUAUUGCGAAAGACAGUUACAUAAGCGACAAUUUGAAAAAACGCUUAUUAGUUUCAAAAUCUUUAGGUUUAUAAGAUUUAUUACUGCAAUUUCUUUCUUUGUACAAUCGAGAAUGGUCAUCGUGCCUGACAAGUUCUAAAACUAGUGUUUUAGUUAUUUAUAUUAUGAAUGAGAUAAGAAACAGAUUGGGCCGAGGGAUAUAGAAAUUAUAUAGUCUAGUACAUAAAUAAUUUAUGUUCGUUUGAACGAAGAGAAUUUAGAAAAUAAAUAUAUUUAUGUACGUGGCGGAAGAAUUUUAUCGUAUGAUAAUUCUAUUAAUAUAACAAUAGAAUUGUAACAGGUUUUAUGAACCCGAGUGUAUUUAAAUACGGUGGACUCGAUUUGAAAUUAUCGAUAAGGGCGUUGACCAUUCGCAUGUACACACGUAGUUUUUGUUAGUUAUACUUAAGCACAUAUAUAUUCGAAAACAGUAUUAAAUACUUUUUGUAACAUUUUUUGAUGGUUUUUUGUAGAUUGUUGAGGCAACCUUUUUUAGUUUAUUUAAACAGAGGACUUAUUCUGAGAUGUGGACUGUAUUUACACAAUUACAAACAUUUGUAAUU